rnacentral:rRNA from 1 species
GAUGAACGCUGGCGGCGUGCCUAAUACAUGCAAGUCGAGCGAACGGACGAGAAGCUUGCUUCUCUGAUGUUAGCGGCGGACGGGUGAGUAACACGUGGAUAACCUACCUAUAAGACUGGGAUAACUUCGGGAAACCGGAGCUAAUACCGGAUAAUAUUUUGAACCGCAUGGUUCAAAAGUGAAAGACGGUCUUGCUGUCACUUAUAGAUGGAUCCGCGCUGCAUUAGCUAGUUGGUAUGGUAACGGCUUACCAAGGCAACGAUGCAUAGCCGACCUGAGAGGGAGAUCGGCCACACUGGAACUGAGACACGGUCCAGACUCCUACGGGAGGCAGCAGUAGGGAAUCUUCCGCAAUGGGCGAAAGCCUGACGGAGCAACGCCGCGUGAGUGAUGAAGGUCUUCGGAUCGUAAAACUCUGUUAUUAGGGAAGAACAUAUGUGUAAGUAACUGUGCACAUCUUGACGGUACCUAAUCAGAAAGCCACGGCUAACUACGUG